UACGGGGGGAGCAAGCGUUGUUCGGAUUUACUGGGCGUAAAGGGCGCGUAGGCGGCGCAACAAGUCACUUGUGAAAUCUCCGGGCUUAACCCGGAGCGGCCAAGUGAUACUGUCGUGCUAGAGUGCGGAAGGGGCUACUGGAAUUCUCGGUGUAGCGGUGAAAUGCUUAGAUAUGACACAGAACACCGAAUGCGAAGGCAGCUAGCUAAACCGAUAUUGACGCUGAGGCACGAAAGUGUGGGGAUCAAACAGG
rnacentral:rRNA from 1 species